AGAGUUUGAUCCUGGCUCAGGACGAACGCUGGCGGCGUGCCUAACACAUGCAAGUCGAGCGGAGACAGGGAGUAGCUUGCUACGAACUGUUUUAGCGGCGGACGGGUGAGUAACGCGUGAGCAACCUUUCCCAGACAGGGGAAUAACACACCGAAAGGUGUACUAAUACCGCAUAAGACCACGGAAUCACAUGGUUCUGAGGUAAAAGAUUUAUCGGUUUGGGGUGGGCUCGCGUCCGAUUAGGUAGUUGGUGAGGUAACGGCCCACCAAGCCGACGAUCGGUAGCCGACCUGAGAGGGUGAUCGGCCACAUUGGGACUGAGACACGGCCCAAACUCCUACGGGAGGCAGCAGUGGGGAAUAUUGGGCAAUGGAGGAAACUCUGACCCAGCAACGCCGCGUGGAGGAAGAAGGUUUUCGGAUCGUAAACUCCUGUCCUUGGAGACGAGUAGAAGACGGUAUCCAAGGAGGAAGCCCCGGCUAACUACGUGCCAGCAGCCGCGGUAAUACGUAGGGGGCAAGCGUUGUCCGGAAUAAUUGGGCGUAAAGGGCGCGUAGGCGGCUCGGUAAGUCUGGAGUGAAAGUCCUGCUUUUAAGGUGGGAAUUGCUUUGGAUACUGUCGGGCUUGAGUGCAGGAGAGGUUAGUGGAAUUCCCAGUGUAGCGGUGAAAUGCGUAGAGAUUGGGAGGAACACCAGUGGCGAAGGCGACUAACUGGACUGUAACUGACGCUGAGGCGCGAAAGUGUGGGGAGCAAACAGGAUUAGAUACCCUGGUAGUCCACACUGUAAACGGUGAAUGCUAGGUGUAGGGGGUAUCGACCCCUUCUGUGCCGCAGUCUACACAAUAAGCAUUCCGCCUGGGGAGUACGGCCGCAAGGUUGAAACUCAAAGGAAUUGACGGGGACCCGCACAAGCGGUGGAGCAUGUGGUUUAAUUCGAAGCAACGCGAAGAACCUUACCAAGUCUUGACAUCCUUCUGACAGAGUAUGUAAUGUACUUUCCCUUCGGGGCAGGAGUGACAGGUGGUGCAUGGUUGUCGUCAGCUCGUGUCGUGAGAUGUUGGGUUAAGUCCCGCAACGAGCGCAACCCUUAUCUUUAGUAGCCAGCGGUCAGGCCGGGCACUCUAGAGAGACUGCCAGGGAUAACCUGGAGGAAGGUGGGGAUGACGUCAAAUCAUCAUGCCCCUUAUGAGCAGGGCUACACACGUGCUACAAUGGCGUAAACAAAGGGAGGCAGAACCGCGAGGUCGAGCAAAUCCCAAAAAUAACGUCUCAGUUCGGAUUGUAGUCUGCAACUCGACUACAUGAAGCUGGAAUCGCUAGUAAUCGCGAAUCAGAAUGUCGCGGUGAAUACGUUCCCGGGUCUUGUACACACCGCCCGUCA
rnacentral:rRNA from 1 species